UGGGGAAUAUUGCACAAUGGGCGCAAGCCUGAUGCAGCCAUGCCGCGUGUAUGAAGAAGGCCUUCGGGUUGUAAAGUACUUUCAGCGGGGAGGAAGGGAGUAAAGUUAAUACCUUUGCUCAUUGACGUAACCCGCAGAAGAAGCACCGGCUAACUCCGUGCCAGCAGCCGCGGUAAUACGGAGGGUGCAAGCGUUAAUCGGAAUUACUGGGCGUAAAGCGCACGCAGGCGGUUUGUUAAGUCAGAUGUGAAAUCCCCGGGCUCAACCUGGGAACUGCAUCUGAUACUGGCAAGCUUGAGUCUCGUAGAGGGGGGUAGAAUUCCAGGUGUAGCGGUGAAAUGCGUGGAGAUCUGGAGGAAUACCGGUGGCGAAGGCGGCCCCCUGGACAAAGACUGACGCUCAGGUGCGAAAGCGUGGGGGGCAAACAGG
rnacentral:rRNA from 1 species